rnacentral:rRNA from 1 species
CCUACGGGAGGCUGCAGUAGGGAAUAUUCCGCAAUGGGGGGAACCCUGAUGCAGCAACGCCGCGUGAGUGAAGAAGUAUCUCGGUACGUAAAGCUCUGUCGUCAGGGAAGAAAGUGACGGUACGUGGCUAAUUCACCCCGACUAACUACGUUCCAGCAGCGGCGGUAAUACGUAGGGGGCAAGCGUUGUCCGGAUUUAUUGGGUUUAACGGGGGCGCGGGCGGAGGGAAAAGUCAGCGGUAAAAUCCCGGGGCUUAACCCGGCUCCGCCGUGGAAACUGUGUCCCUUGAGUGCGCGAAGGGUAGGCGGAAUGCGAUGUGUAGCGGUGAAAUGCAUAGAUAUAACGAAGAACUCCGAUCGCGAAGGCAGCUCACCGGCGCGUAACUGACGCUCAUGCACGAAAGCGUGGGUAUCGAACAGGAUUAGAUACCCCAGUAGUC